rnacentral:rRNA from 1 species
GACGAACGCUGGCGGCGUGCUUAACACAUGCAAGUCGAACGGUGAAGGGGCCUGCUUUUGUGGGUCCUGGAUGAGUGGCGAACGGGUGAGUAACACGUGAGUAACCUGCCCCCUUCUUCUGGAUAACCGCAUGAAAGUGUGGCUAAUACGGGAUAUUCUGGGUCUGUCGCAUGGUGGGCCUGGGAAAGAUUGCGCCUUUUUUGGUGUUUUUGGUGGGGGAUGGGCUCGCGGCCUAUCAGCUUGUUGGUGGGGUGAUGGCCUACCAAGGCGGUGACGGGUAGCCGGCCUGAGAGGGUGGACGGUCACACUGGGACUGAGACACGGCCCAGACUCCUACGGGAGGCAGCAGUGGGGAAUAUUGCACAAUGGGCGCAAGCCUGAUGCAGCGACGCCGCGUGAGGGAUGGAGGCCUUCGGGUUGUGAACCUCUUUCGCCAGUGAAGCAGGCCUGCCUCGUUUGUGGGUGGGUUGAACGGUAGCUGGAUAAGAAGCGCC